rnacentral:lncRNA from 1 species
GUGGGUUGAAAAGCCUGCCUGAAAACAAAACCGUGCGGGUCUGCGUGGCCCAAAGCGGACAAUAUAUACCAUGGGCUGGGCCGUUACAUUUGGUAUCAGAGCCGAAGCCUCGUCCCUCUGGUCCGGUGGUGGGGCAAACCUCAACGUGGGCGUUGAGUCCCUUAGGGGGGGGUGAGCGGUGGCUGGUCACUCUGGGGAUACCAGUGCACUCACCUUAGGCAAAUCCCACAUCGGCUAAGCACGAGGAGGAAGUGAUGUACAUAGGUGCUAACAGUCUAGAACAUGGUAUACGCGUUUUGGGUGGGUUGAAAAGCCUGCCUGAAAACAAAACCGUGCGGGUCUGCGUGGCCCAAAGCGGACAAUAUAUACCAUGGGCUGGGCCGUUACAUUUGGUAUCAGAGCCGAAGCCUCGUCCCUCUGGUCCGGUGGUGGGGCAAACCUCAACGUGGGCGUUGAGUCCCUUAGGGGGGGGUGAGCGGUGGCUGGUCACUCUGGGGAUACCAGUGCACUCACCUUAGGCAAAUCCCACAUCGGCUAAGCACGAGGAGGAAGUGAUGUACAUAGGUGCUAACAGUCUAGAACAUGGUAUACGCGUUUUGGGUGGGUUGAAAAGCCUGCCUGAAAACAAAACCGUGCGGGUCUGCGUGGCCCAAAGCGGACAAUAUAUACCAUGGGCUGGGCCGUUACAUUUGGUAUCAGAGCCGAAGCCUCGUCCCUCUGGUCCGGUGGUGGGGCAAACCUCAACGUGGGCGUUGAGUCCCUUAGGGGGGGGUGAGCGGUGGCUGGUCACUCUGGGGAUACCAGUGCACUCACCUUAGGCAAAUCCCACAUCGGCUAAGCACGAGGAGGAAGUGAUGUACAUAGGUGCUAACAGUCUAGAACAUGGUAUACGCGUUUUGGGUGGGUUGAAAAGCCUGCCUGAAAACAAAACCGUGCGGGUCUGCGUGGCCCAAAGCGGACAAUAUAUACCAUGGGCUGGGC